rnacentral:rRNA from 1 species
GAUGAACGCUAGCGGGAGGCUUAACACAUGCAAGUCGAGCGGGAUUCACCUUCGGGUGAUGAGAGCGGCGCACGGGUGCGUAACGCGUAUGCAACCUACCUUAUACAAAGGGAUAGCCCAUGGAAACGUGGAUUAAUAUCUUAUGGGACUAAUUAAUCGCAUGGUUGAUUAGUUAAAAUUUCGGUGGUAUAAGAUGGGCAUGCGUCUGAUUAGCUAGUUGGUGAGGUAACGGCUCACCAAGGCGACGAUCAGUAGGGGUUCUGAGAGGAUUACCCCCCANACUGGUACUGAGACACGGACCAGACUCCUACGGGAGGCAGCAGUGAGGAAUAUUGGCAAUGGACGAAAGUCUGAACCAGCCAUCCCGCGUGCAGGAUGACGGCCCUAUGGGUUGUAAACUGCUUUUUCACGCCAAGAAACCUACCAACGUGUUGGUAGCUGACGGUAGCGUAGGAAUAACGCACCGGCUUAACUCCGUGCCAGCAGCCG